rnacentral:rRNA from 1 species
UACAGGGGGGCAAGCGUUGUUCGGAAUUACUGGCGUAAAGGGCUCGUAGGUGGCCAACUAAGUCAGACGUGAAAUCCCUCAGCUUAACUGGGAACUGCGUCUGAUACUGGAUGGCUUGAGUUUGGGAGAGGGAUGCGGAAUUCCAGGUGUAGCGGUGAAAUGCGUAGAUAUCUGGAGGAACACCGGUGGCGAAGGCGGCAUCCUGGACCAACACUGACGCUGAGGAGCGAAAGCCAGGGGAGCAAAGCGGG